UACGUAGGGUGCAAGCGUUGUCCGGAAUUAUUGGGCGUAAAGAGCUCGUAGGCGGUUUGUCGCGUCUGCUGUGAAAACUCGGGGCUUAACCCCGGGCCUGCAGUGGGUACGGGCAGACUAGAGUGCGGUAGGGGAGACUGGAAUUCCUGGUGUAGCGGUGAAAUGCGCAGAUAUCAGGAGGAACACCGGUGGCGAAGGCAGCAUACUGGCCGGCAUCUGACGCUGAGGCGCGAAAGCGUGGGUAGCAAACAGG
rnacentral:rRNA from 1 species